rnacentral:rRNA from 1 species
CCGGGGGGGGGCCUAUACAUGCAGUAGAACGCUGAAGAGAGGAGCUUGCUCUUCUUGGAUGAGUUGCGAACGGGUGAGUAACGCGUAGGUAACCUGCCUUGUAGCGGGGGAUAACUAUUGGAAACGAUAGCUAAUACCGCAUAACAAUGGAUGACACAUGUCAUUUAUUUGAAAGGGGCAAUUGCUCCACUACAAGAUGGACCUGCGUUGUAUUAGCUAGUAGGUGAGGUAACGGCUCACCUAGGCGACGAUACAUAGCCGACCUGAGAGGGUGAUCGGCCACACUGGGACUGAGACACGGCCCAGACUCCUACGGGAGGCAGCAGUAGGGAAUCUUCGGCAAUGGGGGCAACCCUGACCGAGCAACGCCGCGUGAGUGAAGAAGGUUUUCGGAUCGUAAAGCUCUGUUGUAAGUCAAGAACGAGUGUGAGAGUGGAAAGUUCACACUGUGACGGUAGCUUACCAGAAAGGGACGGCUAACUACGUGCCAGCAGCCGCGGUAAUACGUAGGUCCCGAGCGUUGUCCGGAUUUAUUGGGCGUAAAGCGAGCGCAGGCGGUUUGAUAAGUCUGAAGUUAAAGGCUGUGGCUCAACCAUAGUUCGCUUUGGAAACUGUCAAACUUGAGUGCAGAAGGGGAGAGUGGAAUUCCAUGUGUAGCGGUGAAAUGCGUAGAUAUAUGGAGGAACACCGGUGGCGAAAGCGGCUCUCUGGUCUGUAACUGACGCUGAGGCUCGAAAGCGUGGGGAGCGAACAGGAUUAGAUACCCUGGUAGUCCACGCCGUAAACGAUGAGUGCUAGGUGUUGGAUCCUUUCCGGGAUUCAGUGCCGCAGCUAACGCAUUAAGCACUCCGCCUGGGGAGUACGACCGCAAGGUUGAAACUCAAAGGAAUUGACGGGGGCCCGCACAAGCGGUGGAGCAUGUGGUUUAAUUCGAAGCAACGCGAAGAACCUUACCAGGUCUUGACAUCCCGAUGCUAUUUCUAGAGAUAGAAAGUUACUUCGGUACAUCGGUGACAGGUGGUGCAUGGUUGUCGUCAGCUCGUGUCGUGAGAUGUUGGGUUAAGUCCCGCAACGAGCGCAACCCCUAUUGUUAGUUGCCAUCAUUCAGUUGGGCACUCUAGCGAGACUGCCGGUAAUAAACCGGAGGAAGGUGGGGAUGACGUCAAAUCAUCAUGCCCCUUAUGACCUGGGCUACACACGUGCUACAAUGGUUGGUACAACGAGUUGCGAGUCGGUGACGGCAAGCUAAUCUCUUAAAGCCAAUCUCAGUUCGGAUUGUAGGCUGCAACUCGCCUACAUGAAGUCGGAAUCGCUAGUAAUCGCGGAUCAGCACGCCGCGGUGAAUACGUUCCCGGGCCUUGUACACACCGCCCGUCACACCACGAGAGUUUGUAACACCCGAAGUCGGUGAGGUAACCUUUUGGAGCCAGCCGCUAAGUGGAUAG